UACGAAGGGGGCUAGCGUUGUUCGGAAUCACUGGGCGUAAAGAGCGUGUAGGCGGCCCGGUAAGUCCGCUGUGAAAGUCGGGGGCUCAACCCUCGAAAGCCGGUGGAUACUGUCGGGCUAGAGUGCGGAAGAGGCGAGUGGAAUUCCUGGUGUAGCGGUGAAAUGCGCAGAUAUCAGGAGGAACACCAGUGGCGAAGGCGGCUUCCUGGCCUGCAACUGACGCUGAGACGCGAAAGCGUGGGGAGCGAACAGG
rnacentral:rRNA from 1 species